ensembl:lncRNA
UUUCUCAAAUAGCACAAAGCAGAAGCAUACAUCUACGAAGACCUUGAUAGACAGAGAAAAUAGAGUGCUAAAAUGACACAGGUCACUAAAUAGUCAAAAAUCCGUAAGCCUUGCUGAUAACGUGUGGAGAUGAUGAAGCGAGCAAGGAAGUCAAACAGAUCAUGGGAUGGAAACAAAAUGCUAAGGAGAGAAGCAGAUACACAGAAGGGAUGAUUACUGCAUUUCUCAUCUCGGGGGGUGCGGGAGGAGAGAACAGUAAUGAUAAAGAAGUCUGCGGUUGGUGAGCGGCUCCAACACGGCGAAGAGAGCUGCCGCAGCACGGAUGCCUGCUCCCUCCUCUUGGGCUACCUCGCAGUGCCAUCUGCUGGCCCCACGUCUCGCUCGAGUGGAAAUUUCCGAAGCUGCUGCUCUGUGCCAGACACAUUGAGACCGCUCUGCUGUCUUCGCUCCCCCGAAAACAUAAAACCACCCUGAGGGCUGGGAGAGGUGGGUGCCAGGGCUUCUACACCGAGCAUCCCGACCAAGUCUGCUCCCACAGGCACUCUUAGCAAUGAUCAUAGCAGAGAUUCUUCCUUUUCAUUUUUCAAAUACCACCUUUGACUGAUGCGUCCCUCAGAUGAGAACCUCCCAUUUCUUUUUUGCAAAUGGGAAGUGAAAUUUUGAGCAUAUACAGUGUGCUCAAUAACCCUAAAUGUGACUCUUGUCCCAUUUUCAAUCCCACCUCUCCCUCUCUGGGAUUUCUGUUACCCUCAGGCAGGGGACAGCCAACAUUAAAUGAUUAGGUAAAAAUUAAAGUUCUGAAAAAGCAGCUUUAAAGUUGCAGUUUUGACUGCUUCGAAAACUUGAUCCGUACACCAACUCGUUUCUAAAACAAGUAAGCAACACCCCUCACCACUCACCUAUAGCGUGGUUAAUUGGGCUAAUCCCCAGUGGGCAGAAUCAAGUAUUGUGAGCACUAACUGUGUUAGUGGCUCAACUCCACCCAAGCUUUGCUAGGAAGGACCACAGCAACACAGAUACAGGUAGGAAGAGCUCUGUGUCAGAAACAGCACCAAAGGCUCUGCAGAAAACUGCAUUAUUCAUUGUGAGCAGAGAUGAUCGAUCAUGAUCCCCUUCUUCCCUCAUCUCUCUGACUGAUUGCUUGAUACACAAUUCACAGAGCUGGAAAGGAGGGUCUCCUCUGAAGAAAGGUGAGGGCAGAGAGUGUGAGGGAUGCUAACAGAGAAGGCAUUAGGGUUAUUGUUCUGUGUAAAAUGGGAGAGGAGUUAAUAGCACUCAUAAAAGUCUGUGAUUUGGCCAUGGGAAGUGGAAAUCUGGCUCAAGCAAAACCAUCAUCAAAACUGAUCCUAUACUUCUGAUAUGUCAAAGAUGCUGUUUCAGCUAAUGCAGGAAAACUGUGGGAGAACAUGGGACAUGUGCAGGGAUCUUAAGCAGGGUUUUCCCUCUCCUCACUCAGUGCUGUAACAUCAACACAAUCUAUACAAUUCCAAGAAUAAAUUACAGGUAUUUCUUGCCAGAAAAAAUAAAUUUUGUUUUCCUGUCUCCUUACCACAAAGACUUUAUCUCUGAAAGCAGUGGUUAUGGAGGAGUAAUUUCAGCAGUACUCACAGAGUGAUCACAAUUAUUUCACUAUUAGCACAAAUGCCCACUGUUCUUCCACUGCAUUUUCUUCAGCUGAAGUUCCUUUACCUCAGGGAAGAAGGUUGUAAUAAACUCUGAUUCCUGUUUUUAAC